GCAUCUAAGUGUGAAACCCACCUCAAGAUGAAAUUUCCCAUUCCUUUAUGGAAGUAAGACCCCUAAGAGAUGAUUAGGUAGAUAGGCUAGAAGUGGAAGUGCAGCAAUGUAUGGAGCGGACUAGUACUAAUUGGUCGAGGACUUAACCAAG
rnacentral:rRNA from 1 species